AGUGCCAGACAGGUCCCAGACCCCUCCCUCAGCAUCCUUAUACUUCCAGGAAUGAUCACCUUCUCUCAGGAUUAUGUCGCAAAUGAACUCACUCAGAGCUUCUUCACCAUCACUCAGAAGAUUCAGAAGAAAGUCACAGGCUCUCGGAACUCCACUGAGCUCUCGGAGAUGUUUCCUGUCCUCCCCGGUUCCCACUUGCUGCUCAAUAACCCUGCCCUGGAGUUCAUCAAAUACGUGUGCAAGGUGCUGUCCCUGGACACCAACAUCACAAACCAGGUGAAUAAGCUGAACCGAGACCUGCUUCGCCUGGUGGAUGUCGGCGAGUUCUCUGAGGAGGCCCAGUUCCGAGACCCCUGCCGCUCCUACGUGCUUCCUGAGGUCAUCUGCCGCAGCUGUAACUUCUGCCGCGACCUGGACCUGUGUAAAGACUCUUCCUUCUCAGAGGAUGGGGCGGUCCUGCCUCAGUGGCUCUGCUCCAACUGUCAGGCGCCCUACGACUCCUCUGCCAUCGAGAUGACGCUGGUGGAAGUUCUACAGAAGAAGCUGAUGGCCUUCACCCUGCAGGACCUGGUGAGUCGUGCAUGCCGCCCGCCCAUGUGCCCUGGAGUCCGCAGGGGUGUUUCUGUGCACUCCCGGGAGCCGGGGUGUGUGUAGGUCCUGAGGCACGCCCUGGUGUCCUCCAAGGGGCCUGCCCUGCAGACCAGUCCAUGCCCUGAGCCUGAUGGACUGUUCUGUCCACACUGGUUGAGCACCUGCCUUGGGUCAAGAGCUGGCCUUGUGGGUGCUUUGUUCUAGUGGAAGGAGGCAGACACUCCCAAGUGUGAAGAGAAGGAAAGGAGGAAGAGGGAGUUGCGCAGCUCGGCCACAGGAAGGUCUUGCCGAGGGGCAUCUGAGCAGAGGCUGGGGGACGCGCCAAGCUGCCGUGUGGUGGUGCACGGCGUUCAGGCCUGCAGGAUGGAGGGAGUGAGCAGGGCCUGGAGGAGGCCUCAGGACUGGGCGUCUGGGGUGGAACACCCACAGCGAGGGUGGGUGUAGGGAAGGCGCUGGCACGGAGGGAUGAGGUCGUGCAUUUUACUCAUAACCGAGGGCUGGCUGCACACAGCAGGGGCUCGAGGCUUACUGAUGGGCCCACGAAUGUGUCUCGCGAGCCUGUGAAGAAGCAGCAGGCAGGUCUGGCCAGCGCGGGAGGGCUGGCGCCCAUCGGGGCUGCUCCCUUUCAGGUCUGCCUGAAGUGCCGCGGGGUGAAGGAGACCAGCAUGCCUGUGUACUGCAGCUGCGCGGGAGACUUCGCCCUCACCAUCCACACCCAGGUGGGCUCUCCCUCAUCUGCCUCGGCUCAGCCUGGCCUCCUUGGCCUCCUCUCUGAGUGGACUGGGGUCUCACUGUGCCUGUUUAUUCCUGCAGGUCUUCAUGGAACAGAUCGGAAUCUUCCGGAACAUUGCCCAGCACUACAGCAUGUCGUACCUCCUGGAGACCCUGGAGUGGCUGCUGCAGAAGAACCCACAGCUGGGCCGUUAGCCAGCCCCGGGCCCCGGGUGCCUCUGCGUCCGUGCCAGGCCUCCUGAUGCCAAGGCCACAUCCCCGUGCUUCCAGUGACCAGACCACUGACCACCCUGACUGUCCAAACCUGUGACCCCAGGCCAGGGAACGGGGAGGAAAC
rnacentral:sRNA from 1 species